rnacentral:piRNA from 1 species
UGGGUAGGCCACAUACGGGUAUGAGUAGA